GAAAUGCGAUACGUAAUGUGAAUUGCAGAAUACCGUGAAUCAUCGAAUCCUCGAACGCACAUUGCGCUCCUUUGGUCAUCCUGGGAGCAUGCCUGUUUGAGCAUCAGAUCAAAACCUCAACAACGAAUUUUUUUUGUUGUUGGAAUUGGACUUUUUACACACGAUGUAACAAUCGCGCGAAGUCCGAAAUAUAUAAUCGUAGGGCUAUUGCUGGCUCACAGUACUUGGUUAUUUGCGGUUUGCAAUUUUCUAAACGUACUUGGGGUUCAAAAAAAAAUAGUCUUGCGGAAUAUUUCUGGUGGGGGGAGGUUCUUAAAAAACACCUUUUUCCAGGCCGGAAAAAUUUACAAGGGUUGUAGGAAUGCUCUGGCAUUUUUAUCCUUGAACUUUGGUCUCAAAU
rnacentral:misc_RNA from 1 species